rnacentral:misc_RNA from 1 species
GCAAACUUGGUCAUUUAGAGGAAGUAAAAGUCGUAACAAGGUUUCCGUAGGUGAACCUGCGGAAGGAUCAUUACAGAAAUAAACUUGAUGGAUUGUUGCUGGCUCUAAAUUGAGUAGUGUGCACAUCUGUCAUUUUUAUCUUUCCACCAUGUGCACUCUGCAUAGGUCUGAUAAUCAAAGUUGGUUUCGACUUUGAGGGUAUUUUGGGAAUUGCAAGCUUCACACCUUGCUCUCUCCCUAUUUUCAGGCCCUAUGUUUUUUCUUUAUACACACCAUGUAUGUUAAAGAACGUUAAUCAAAGGCAAUUUUUGCCUACAAACAUAAUACAACUUUCAGCAACGGAUCUCUUGGCUCUCGCAUCGAUGAAGAACGCAGC